AUUGAACGCUGGCGGCAGGCCUAACACAUGCAAGUCGAACGAGUGGCGGACGGGUGAGUAAUGUCUGGGAAACUGCCUGAUGGAGGGGGAUAACUACUGGAAACGGUAGCUAAUACCGCAUACCAUCGGAUGUGCCCAGAUGGGAUUAGCUAGUGGGUGGGGUAAAGGCUCACCUAGGCGACGAUCCCUAGCUGGUCUGAGAGGGUGACCAGCCACACUGGGACUGAGACACGGUCCAGACUCCUACGGGAGGCAGCAGUGGGGAAUAUUGCACAAUGGACGCAAGCCUGAUGCAGCCAUGCCGCGUGAAUGAAGAAGGCCUUCGGGUUGUAAAGUUCUGUCGGCAGGGAGGCGGUACCCACACAGGAAGCACCGGCUAACUACGUGCCAGCAGCCGCGGUAAUAC
rnacentral:rRNA from 1 species